rnacentral:rRNA from 1 species
AUGAUGUGUCCCGGCACCGGAAAGAGCCAUACCGUUGUUCCUAGGGCCGCGCCGGGCUACGCAGGCUCCAAGCGGACGCUGGCUGUGUACGACCCUGCUGCAGCGGCACAGCAACGGGCCGAUGCGGCCAGACUCUCUGCGGACGCGGGUGCAUUGGUGCCAUUACCCGUGGGCGUGGCCGGCGAGCCCAUCAAGGCAGUGCCGCUGGCUGCCACCGCUCCUGAGCCGCCGGGGAUACGCGCACCCAAGGGCCUGCUCGCGCACCUGAGCCUCCGCCUCGACCUGCCCGUGCACUUCAUCGACGAGAAGACCGUGACCGCCACCGACGUGGAUCCGCAGCAGAACCGGUUCCGCCUCCCAAUCGACGGCGUGAUACGCAACCUCCGCCCGGUCCUCUCCCACCUAGAUCGCCAGGUCGCCAACCUGGUGUACGUGGAAGCCCCGAGACCAAGGCUGCCGAAGCUACCCAAGGUUCCUGGGGAGAAGACGAAGAAGAGAAGGGGAAGGGAGCACGGCGGCCUUCCCGUGCUCGUGAUCGAGCGCUACGCCGGCAUCAGGGAGCUGCAGCUGACGCGGUGGGAGAGCAGCGGCGUCUGCGUCAUCAAGGGAGAGGGGUACAUGGACUUCAUCAACAACUGCGGCUUCAGUGUGGGUGACGUGGUGGAGAUCUGGGCUUUCAAGGAGAAAGGCUUGCGUUUGUUCGGAGUGGAUAUCUACGAGGAGGGGUACCAGGAGAGCCCUUUAUGCGUUCUGUUCAUCAAGAAAGACCAGAUGCUACCACCAUCCCAUGCUCUAUUCGACGGCCUAGCCAAACUGAAGAAUACCGGAGCAAAUGUUAACAUUCCCUACACCAAGCAAACUACGUAUCAUACAUGUGUGCAUGACGACCAGCUUCCUCCUCCUAGGGUAAGAUUAAACCUCAAUCCUCGCAUGUCCACCAGCAUGGGGUGGCUCCCUCCUUUCUUCGCUCCUCCUAGGUAUUUUUACUGUUGUUUGGUUAUGGAUAACACACUCUGCCACGAAAAGAGAUGGCUCCCCUUCAUGUUAGUUCCAACAUUGGAUCGCGCAGGAAGUAGGAAGCCUCUAUCGAAGCACGCCUACUUAGAGGGGAAAUAUCUUUUCUUGAACCGAUCACCUGAGGAGCAGAUCCAUGUCUACUCGAUCCAGUUCAGAAUCCUCCUCCGAUCUAUUCGUCGCCGCUCGCCGCUCCUAACCUUCUCCAUCCUCGACCUGCCCGGCGAGAGGAAUAAAUUCAUCGUCCUCGUCCUCCACCCAACCAACCCCAGCCCCCCACGCCGUCACCGAAGAAGAAGAAGGCCGGAUCUGCGCCGGCUGAAUCGGCGGCGACCGCGGCGGGCGAUCCCAUCUCUUCGCGCGUACCAUCCUUAA